rnacentral:piRNA from 1 species
UGAAACUGGUCCACAUUCACUAGCUCCC